UCUUUGCAAAUGAGCAACAGUUGGAAAGACUGGGUGUAUCCCUGCUGCAUCUCCCAGCUGGAGUGAAAGCAAGCAGGGCAUAGGACAAGCUGCUAUGACUGACAGCAAUAAAGAUGGAAAAACUUUGGGGAGGGUUGGCAGUCUUAUUUUCUACGCAGUUUGUUUUUAGUUACGUUUUUAUCCUAGAAAUGGCAGAUCAAUCCAAUCACUAGACCUUGUACCUUUACUGAAACAGGAGCUGGAAGGGACCUUACAGAUCAUCGGGUCCAGCCCCCCCUGCACUUGGCUUCAACUUCCAGCCCAGUGACAUCUAUGUCUGUUUGGUGAAAGAGCCCUCUAGCCUCCGAAGUCGUCCUGUGGUCCUGGCACCCUGCCGUCUAACGGGAAGAUCUUGGGACCGACAUUGAAGCUUUGGAAACAACUUCAGGCCAGACUCUGACCUGAGCUCAGCCAGCUCUUUCUCUCCCUCGAAAUGGUAUCGGUAGCCCUGGAGAACACUAAGGACUCUGUUCAGCACAGACAUGCAGAGGAAAGUCAGCAGAUCACUCACAAACCUUAGGUGAGCACCUGAUUCAAGUGAGCUAUUAGGUCACCAGCGUGGAAUCCCAUCUUGAUGGCACGUGCAUGGGGAAGCAUUCGCUCGGAUGCGCUGUCAGGCUUCAAAGCAAACCAGGAUGCCUAUAAAAGAGACUGGGCAGUGUGCAUAACUAACAAGUCCUUGCAACCCAGGCAGGCUGUUUGCAAGUAAGAAUGGAUCCUUGUAGUGCACGAGUGAGAAAUAUUGAGAGUGUGAUGGGGUUGUGGGCACAGCGGUGGAAAGAUGCAAUCAUGUUAUAGUGACAUUGCUGCAAAGUAAUUACCAUUCGACGUGCUAUUAGCGCUUCAUGCAAUGGUUUAGUAAAGCAUCCAAAUGAGAAUGUACUACUGUAAAGAACUGAUUCAGGACUGCUGAAUACCCGCUCCUCUGCACAGAUGCCCAGAGAGAAAAUGUGAGAAAAUUUUGCUGACAAGGGGGAGGAGGAGUUGCUGGAAGCCUAGAGGCAAAAUGUCUUGGGUAAAGAUGUUUCCAAGCAGGGAGGCACUGGCUAAAGUGGAGGCUUGUGGUUGCGAGACGCAUGGAUUUUAAUAUUACCAGCUCUUUCCUUCACUUGCCUGGGAACAUUGUACGUCGCAUCUAUGGGGCUCACUAUGCCCAUCAGGGUACUGGGGGUACUAAGGCAAGCUCCUGUUGGCCAGGCUUCAAGGGAGUCAGAAGGUUUUGAUUGAUUGAUUUUUUUUAUUUUUUUUUUAACUCUCAGGAAAAUUGAAUUUUUUCCCCUCAAAUCUUUCUCCUUUUCAGCAAUCCAUACCACCCUCCAUUUUCCAACCAGUUCUGCUCCCUGAAGUCCCUCUUUUUAAAAAAAACUUCUAAACAUUUUCAAUUUUCCACAAGGGAAACAUUUGAGGGAGGGAUGGGGGAGCAGGGGGGAGGUUGAAGAGGGGACUUGUUAUUUGCCCCAGCCAACACCACUGGAUCUUACUGCAAUCGUCUGACAAAGAGAAGACCCUAUGUGCUACUUAGUACCAGCACCGUGGAGUCCUGGCCCCCUCCCAGCGGGCUCACAGACUCGACUUGAUCUCCAUGAUGUGCCGGGAAUGCACGCGUGGUGCAAUGCAGAGCUCUGGAGAGGUAGCCAGGCUGGCCGGUGUACCAGAAGCAGCAAAGCUGCAGUAGCUUAGAAUAGCUCAAGGUAUCUGCCUAACGUGGGCACACGUUGCUGUUUUGCUCUGUUCCACUGGCCCAGGAGAUGCUUUGUUGGACACUGGCAUUUGAACCCCUCACCGCUGGAUCUGAGGCAGCAGCUGCUAGCAUAGGGCAGCUUUAAAAAGUGCAUGGAGUGCACUCCGUGAAGCCAGAGUUGGAGAUGCAGGGCACUGGGUAUGACCUGAGUUGGGGAAAUGUGUGAGUUGUCCUAGGCCAGUGCAGCUCCAUGAGUGGUGCCAGUGUCAGGCUAAAGAGGCUGCUGUAACAACGGUCUCUCCUGCAGCUGGAAAUCUAGAAGUGAUUUACGGAGGGGAGCAAAUCUCACUGCCCUCCUUCGACAGAGGACUUGACCAAGAUCGUUAGCAGAGGCAGGAUUAAAACCCAGGCAUUUUGGCAAGUGGCUUAUCCAGCUAGCUGCAUUGUCAUCCUGGGAGCUUGCUGGCUGUACUUGUUGCUGUAGCAGAUCCUGUCUAACUCUUUCAACAGAAGAAGUGCUGACCUUAGAGGUGUAUAUGGAUCUGCAUUUAGCUGGGAAAAGCCUUUUAGUGGAGCCUUCUGCAGCACCACCUCUCCAGGGCUCCUGCCUUCGUGGCUCACUCAUUUAACCGCCAGCAUCUUCCCUGCGACUGCUAAUUGCAGCGGUGCUGUUUGUAGGGGGGCACCAGUGUGUGACACUGUUGUCAAAGCAUCCUACUCCUGUGUUCAUCAGCCAUGCAUCUCAGCAUCUUUCACUGCAGGUGGGUAUGGCAGGGUUGGGCCCAUCAGCCAGAUUGCUUUCUAUGAUUGCUGUCAGAAAUCACAGCCUGACAUGCCAAUGCAGGUUGCUGGGUCUAAAAAUGCAAGAUCAAAAUAGGGGCCAGGUAGGAAAAACAUAGGAUCAUGGGAAAGUCGGGCUGGAAGGGACCUCACAAGGGCAUCUGCUCAAGGCAGGAUCAUCCCUGACUAAACCAUCCCAGCCAAGUAUCUGUCUAACCUGCUCUUGAAAACGUCCAGGGAUGGAGCUGCUGCAACUCCUCUAGGCAGCCUGUUCCAAUGUUUGACCAUGCUCAGAAUCAGAAAGUUUCUAAUCUCCAUGCUAAAUACCGCCGGCUGCCGUUUGAGGCCGUAGCAGAUCUGAAAGACGCUUCAGCACCACCAGCUGCUGUGCUCCCUGUCGGUACAGGCGCUGAGCUCCCUGUCGGUGCAG